rnacentral:rRNA from 1 species
UACGGAGGGCGCGAGCGUUGUCCGGAAUCACUGGGCGUAAAGGGCGCGUAGGCGGCCUGAUAAGUAGGGGGUGAAAUCCUGCGGCUUAACCGCAGGGCUGCCUUCUAAACUGUCAGGCUGGAGCACAGUAGAGGCAGGUGGAAUUCCCGGUGUAGCGGUGGAAUGCGUAGAGAUCGGGAAGAACAUCAGUGGCGAAGGCGGCCUGCUGGGCUGUUGCUGACGCUGAGGCGCGACAGCGUGGGGAGCAAACAGG